GCGAAAGUGGCGGAAUUGGUAGACGCACUGGAUUUAGGUUCCAGCGCCGCAAGGUGUGGGGGUUCGAGUCCCCCCUUUCGCACCA
rnacentral:tRNA from 12 species